ACAACCGAGGUGCGAGGGCUGUCGCUGACCGUCAAAGGUCGUGCACGCUCGAGCGCUCUCACACAAUCCAUCUCACCUUUGUGCAUCACCGUGUGGGUCCCCUUUGCGGGAGGGCUUGCGUUUUCACAUAAAAACUCGAUACAGUGUAGAAUGUUACUUUUGCGAUCACACGCAAUCAAUACAACUUUCAACAACGGAUCUCUUGGCUCUCGCAUCGAUGAAGAACGCAGCGAAAUGCGAUACGUAAUGUGAAUUGCAGAAUUCAGUGAAUCAUCGAAUCUUUGAACGCACCUUGCGCCCCUUGGCAUUCCGAGGGGCACACCCGUUUGAGUGUCGUGAAAUCUUCAAAACCCUUUUCUUUGAUCCAUUUUGGUCGGGAAAAGGAUUUUUGGACUUGGAGGUUCAAUGCUCGCCCUUUCUUUUGAAAGCGAGCUCCUCUCAAAUGAAUCAGUGGGGUUCGCUUUGCUGAUCCUUGACGUGAUAAGAUGUUUCUACGUUUUGGGGUUUAGCACUGUCCCUUGNACGCCUGCUCCUAACCGUCUCACGGACAAUGAUGGUGCUCUGGUCACCGCCGUCUACAUCGGGCGGGAGCCUGGACCCACGAAAAGAAAACCUUGA
rnacentral:rRNA from 1 species